rnacentral:rRNA from 1 species
UGCCAGCAGCCGCGGUAAUACGGAGGGGGCUAGCGUUGUUCGGAAUUACUGGGCGUUAAGCGCGCAUAGGCGGAUUGGUAAGUUGGAGGUGAAAUCCCGGGGCUCAACCCCGGAACUGCCUUCAAAACUGCCAGUCUUGAGUUCGGGAGAGGUGAGUGGAAUUCCUAGUGUAGAGGUGAAAUUCGUAGAUAUUAGGAAGAACACCAGUGGCGAAGGCGACUCACUGGCCCGAUACUGACGCUGAGGCGCGAAAGCGUGGGGAGCAAACAGGAUUAGAUA